rnacentral:tRNA from 1 species
CCUUCGAUAGCUCAGUUGGUAGAGCGGUGGACUGUAGUUGUAAACGUGUGGAUAUCCAUAGGUCGCUGGUUCAAAUCCGGCUCGAAGGA